rnacentral:rRNA from 1 species
GACGAACGCUGGCGGCGUGCUUAACACAUGCAAGUCGAACGGAAAGGCCCUGCUUUUGUGGGGUGCUCGAGUGGCGAACGGGUGAGUAACACGCGAGUAACCUGCCCUUGACUUUGGGAUAACUUCAGGAAACUGGGGCUAAUACCGGAUAGGAGCUCCUGCUGCACGGUGGGGGUUGGAAAGGUUCGGCGGUUGGGGAUGGACUCGCGGCUUAUCAGCUUGGUGGUGGGGUAGUGGCUUACCAAGGCUUUGACGGGUAGCCGGCCUGAGAGGGUGACCGGGCACAUUGGGACUGAGGUACGGCCCAGACUCCUACGGGAGGCAGCAGUGGAGAAUAUUGCACAAUGGGCGGCAGCCUGAUGCAGCAACGCCGCGUGCGGGAUGACGGCCUUCGGGUUGUAAACCGCUUUCGCCUGUGACGAAGCGUGAGUGACGGUAAUGGGUAAAGAAGCACCGGCUAACUACGUG